CCUACGGGAGGCAGCAGUGGGGAAUAUUGCGCAAUGGGCGAAAGCCUGACGCAGCGACGCCGCGUGAGGGAUGAAGGUCUUCGGAUCGUAAACCUCUGUCAGCAGGGAAGAACGGUCACUGUGCUAAUCAGCAGUGAAUUGACGGUAUCUGCAAAGGAAGCACCGGCUAACUCCGUGCCAGCAGCCGCGGUAAUACGGAGGGUGCGAGCGUUAAUCGGAAUUACUGGGCGUAAAGCGCUCGUAGGCGGUAUGUCAAGUCAAGGGUGAAAUCCCCGCGCUCAACGUGGGAACUGCCUUUGAAACUGGCAGACUGGAGUGUGUGAGAGGUUAGUGGAAUUCCAGGUGUAGGAGUGAAAUCCGUAGAUAUCUGGAGGAACAUCAGUGGCGAAGGCGACUAUCUGGCACAUAACUGACGCUGAGGAGCGAAAGCGUGGGUAGCAAACAGGAUUAGAUACCCGGGUAGUC
rnacentral:rRNA from 1 species